rnacentral:lncRNA from 1 species
GCUUCCUGUUUUUCUUGGCGGGGUCGUCUUGAGCAGCCCGCCACGUGUAGAUGCUUUUGAGGACGCGACAUUCCUCCAUCGUGUGGUUGGAUUUUGGAUGCAGUUGGCAUGGCCCCUUCAACGUCUUGUUGUAAUCUUCCUGGUAGUCUCACCGCGCAUUGGGACACUUGACCGUAUUUACCUCGUGGUCGUGGUCGCGAGGGCGCUUGCCUCUGAAGUCAUCGCGAUUGUCACGCCGCCUGUCCCAACCUUCUCUGUGGUCGCGGUUGUCGGGGCGACGAUGGUUCCUGUUGUCGAAACGACCACGACUGUCGUCUCGUCGAGGAGGCUGGUCGGGAUCUCUCGCAUCGUCCCGGAUGAGUUUUUCUGCGUCGUCGGCGUCGGCGUAAUUUUUAGCCGUGGCAAGGAUCUCGGCCAUCGUCAUUGGCCUUUUGCGCAGUAGCUUGUUCCUCAGUGCUUCAUGGAAGCGUAGCUC